GCUCUCACGGCUCUCGGGUUGGUCAGCCUCUGCCUCGUUCCGGAGAGCCGAUCCUGGGGAUGCGGAAACAGAACCGUUAACCUGAACUCCCCAGGUGGUUGACAGGGUUGGAGCCUAAAAGAGAGCGUGAAUUCAGAUACUGAUCAAAACCCCAUAUUCCUGUGGGGUCCAGGCAGUGAGGUAAACACACGUGACGCCUGGGUGGGCCAAGGACUGACCCAGCAAGUUCCAUUCCAUCCAGCUCCCGCCAGACAAUAAGGCAGACAAAGGUCACAGGAACAGCACACACGGAGAAGCUAGGAGGACAAAGAUCACCCGCCGUAGGAGCCAAGCAAGGAGACUUUGAGAACGGGACAGGCAGUGAGGUCAAAUCCUACAGAAAAGCCGGAGCUGACACACCAAGGCACGGGGUCACCAGUGUCCUCUGAGGAUAUCCAUGGGCGGAAGUCAUAUGCUUUGCUCUCAGUUGAACGCAGGAGCCACUUCAAACAACAGGAAACAUUCCUGCGUGGAGUCUCCCUGCCCUGGAGCCAGACCGCCUGAUUUGAGAUUCCGCCAAGUCGCCCGUUACCGGUCACGGGGCUUCGGUCAAAUUUCUCUAACUUGUCAGAGGGAAACACUAAGGAUAGCACCUAGCACCUGGGUCAGUGGGAAGAUUAAGUGAGAUUAUAUUUAAGACACCACCGCUGGGGACUAUCAACUGGGCGUGGUCCCCCCAGAGGGGAAGGAGGCACCCAUGGAAACUGUUGACUUGGGACACUGUUGUAGCUCGGUACCUGGCACUAAGUAAGGGCUCAAUAAACAGUCUUGGAUGAUGA